UUGCACGCACGGCUUCCUGACGCGUGAGUUUUAAUUAUCGGAGCA
rnacentral:ncRNA from 1 species